AAGAAAGAAAAAAGAACUGCUAAUUCUUUAUACCAUGACUAAACCCCUGGCUUUCUUA
rnacentral:tRNA from 1 species